GGUUUAGAAGUUCUCUGGUGGAAUUUUUAGAGUCACAUAUAUACUAUCAUAUCUUCUGCAAAAAGUGAUAUUUUGACUUCUUCCUUUCCAAUUUGUAUCCCCUUGAUCUCCUUUUGUUGUCGAAUUGCUCUGGCAAGGACUUCAAGUACUAUGUUGAAUAGGUAGAGAGAAAGUGGGCAGCCUUGUCUAGCCCCUGAUUUUAGUGAGAUUGCUUCCAGCUUCUCACCAUUUACUUUGAUGUUGGCUACUGGUUUGCUGUAGAUUGCUUUUAUCAUGUUUAGGUAUAAGACUCGAAUUUCUGAUCUUUCCAAGAUUUUUAUCAUGAAUAGAUGUUGAAUUUUGUCAAAUGCUUUCUCCGAAUCUAAUGAGAUGAUCAUGUGGUUUUUGUCUUUGAGUUUGUUUAGAUAGUGGAUUACAUUGAUGGAUUUCCAUAUAUUAAACCAUCCCUGCAUCCCUGGAAUGAAACCUACUUGGUCAGGAUGGAUGAUUGUUUUGAUGUAUUCUUGGAUUUGGAUAGCAAGAAUUUUAAUGAAUAUUUUUACAUCAAUAUUGAUAAGGGAAAUUGGCCUGAAGUUCUCUAUCUUUGUUGGGUCUUUCUGUGAUUUAGGUAUCAGAGUAUUUGUGGCUUCAUAGAAUGAAUUGGGUAGAGAACCUUCUGUUUCUAUUUGGUGGAAUAGUUUGAGAAGAACUGGAAUUAGAUCUUCUUUGAAGAUCUGAUAGAACUCUGCAACAAACUCAUCAGGGUCCUGGGCUUUUUUUUUUUUUUUUUUUUUUUUUUUUGGCAGACUAUUAAUAACUGCUUCUAUUUCUUUAGGGGAUAUUAGCACUGUUUAGAUCAUUAAUCUAAUCCUGAUUUAACAUUGGUACCUGGUAUCUUUCCAGAAAUUUGUCCAUUUCACAGGUUUUCCAGUUUUGUUGAGUAUAGCCUUUUGUAGGAGGAUCCGAUUGUGUUUUGGAUUUCUUCAGGAUAUGUUGUUAUGUCUCCCUUUUCAGUUCUGAUUUUGUUAAUUAGGAUGCUGUCUCUUUGUGUUCUUGUGAGUCUGGCUAAGGGUUUAUCUAUCUUGUUGAUUUUCUCAAAGAACCAGCUCCUCCUUUAGUUGAUUCUUUGAAUAGUUCUUUUUGUUUCCACUUGGUUGAUUUUGCCCCUGAAUUUUAUUAUUUCCUGAAGUCUACUCCUCUUGCGUGAAUUUGCUUCCUUUUGGUCUAGAGCUUUUAGGUGUAUUGUCAAGCUGCUAGUGUGUACCCUCUUUAGUUUCUUUUUGGAGGCACUCAGAGCUUUGAGUUUUCCUCCUAUAAAUGCUUUCAUUGUAUCCCAUAAGCUUGGGUAUGUUGUGUCUUCAUUUUUAUUAAACUCUAAAAAGUCUUUAAUUUCUUUCUUUAUUCUUUCCUUGAUCCAGGUAUCACUGAGGAGAGUGUUGUUCAGUUUCCACGUGCAUGUUGGCUUUCUAUUAUUUAUGUUGUUAUUGAAGAUCAGCCUUAGUCCAUGGUGAUCUGAUAGGAUGCAUGGGACAAUUUCAGUAUUUUUGUAUCUGUUGAGGCCUGUUUUGUGACCAAUUAUAUUGUGAAUUUUUGAUGGGUUACCAUGAGGUGCUGAGAAGAAGGUAUAUCCUUUUGUUUUAGGAUAAAAUAUUCUGGAGAUAUAUGUUAAAUCCAUUUCUUUCAUAACUUUUGUUAGUGUCACUGUGUCCCUUUUUAGUUUCUGUUUCCAUGAUCUGUCCAUUGAUGAAAGUGGUGUGUUGAAGUCUCCCACUAUUAUUGUGUGAGGUGCAAUGUGUACUCUGAGCUUUACUAAAGUUUCUUUAAUGAAUAUGGCUGUCUUUGCAUUUGAAACAUAGAUACUCAGAAUUGAGAGUUCCUCCUGGAAGAUUUUACCUUUGUUGAGUAUGAAGUGCCCCUCCUUGUCAUUUUUGAUAACUUUGGGUUGUAAGUUGACUUUAUUCAAUAUUAGAAUGGCUACCCCAGCUUGUUUCUUCAGACCAUUUGCUUGGGAAAUUGUUUUCCAGCCUUUCACUCUGAGAUAGUGUCUUUUUCCCUGAGAUGGGGUUCAUGUAAGCAGCAAAAUCUUGGGUCCUGUUUGUGUAGAGCUUCUGUUAAUCUAUGUCUUUUUAUUGGGGAAUUGAGUCCAUUAAUGUUGAGAGAAAUCAAAGAAAAGAAAUUGUUGCUUCCUAUUAUUUUUGCUUUUAGCGUUGGCAUUCUGUUCUUGUGUCUUUAUUCUUUUAGGUUUGUUAAAGGAUUACUUUCUUGCUUUUUCUAGGGCAUAGUUUCCAUCCUUGUCUUGGAUUUUUUUCUGUUAUUAUCCUUUGAAGGGCUGGAUUC
rnacentral:lncRNA from 1 species